UCCCUACGGGAGGCAGCAGUAGGGAAUCUUCCACAAUGGGCGAAAGCCUGAUGGAGCAACGCCGCGUGGGUGAAGAAGGUCUUCGGAUCGUAAAACCCUGUUGUUAGAGAAGAAAGUGCGUGAGAGUAACUGUUCACGUCUCGACGGUAUCUAACCAGAAAGCCACGGCUAACUACGUGCCAGCAGCCGCGGUAAUACGUAGGUGGCAAGCGUUAUCCGGAUGUAUUGGGCGUAAAGGGAACGCAGGCGGUCGUUUAAGUCUGAUGUGAAAGCCUACGGCUUAACC
rnacentral:rRNA from 1 species